rnacentral:rRNA from 1 species
CCUCGGGUGGCAGCAGUGGGGAAUAUUGCGCAAUGGGCGAAAGCCUGACGCAGCGACGCCGCGUGAGGGAUGAAGGUCUUCGGAUCGUAAACCUCUGUCAGCAGGGAAGAACGGUCACUGUGCUAAUCAGCAGUGAAUUGACGGUACCUGCAAAGGAAGCACCGGCUAACUCCGUGCCAGCAGCCGCGGUAAUACGGAGGGUGCGAGCGUUAUUCGGAUUUAUUGGGUUUAAAGGGUGCGUAGGGGGACUGGAAAGUCAGCGGUAAAAUCGAGAGGCUCAACCUCUUUCCGCCGUUGAAACUGUCGGUCUUGAGUGGGCGAGAAGUAUGCGGAAUGCGUGGUGUAGCGGUGAAAUGCAUAGAUAUCACGCAGAACUCCGAUUGCGAAGGCAGCAUACCGGCGCCCGACUGACGCUGAGGCACGAAAGCGUGGGUAUCGAACAGGAUUAGAUACCCUGGUAGUC